CAAUAGCGUAUAUUAAAGUUGUUGCAGUUAAAAAGCUCGUAGUUGGAUUUCUGGUGGGAGCGAUCGGUCUGGCGCUUAGCGCGAGUACUUGCAUCGUCUCCGGCCAUCCUUGGGGAGAGUCUGUCUGGCAUUAGGUUGUCGGGCAGAGGAUCCUCAUCGUUUACUGUGAAAAAAUUAGAGUGUUCAAAGCAGGCUUAUGCCGUUGAAUAUAUUAGCACGGAAUAAUAAGAUAGGACUUUGGUACUAUUUUGUUGGUUUGCGCACCAAAGUAAUGAUUAAUAGGGACAGUUGGGGGUAUUCGUAUUCCGUUGUCAGAGGUGAAAUUCUUGGAUUUACGGAAGACGAACUACUGCGAAAGCAUUUACCAAGGAUGUUUUCAUUAA
rnacentral:rRNA from 1 species